GUUAAUAUUGUUGCGGAAAUUUAAAUUUAACAUAGUUUUAUAACUUUUCCCGGGCGACAUUUAAAAUAUUCCAUUAAAAUUUUCAUCAAAAUAUUAUAAUAUAUGUUUUGAAUUCGAACUAGGUAUUUGUGGUGAACUGUCACAUUGUUUCAUCUGAUCAGCUCUGCGUCCUGAAUAUUCAAGUCCGGCAUUUAAUCGUAUAUAAUAUCGAAUUUACAUACAUUGAAAAUGCAAUUUAAUAU